UCAAUGGACAAGGGUUCCUUUAGGUAGAC
rnacentral:piRNA from 1 species